rfam:TPA: Bos taurus chromosome 12, whole genome shotgun sequence.
CCCCAAGUGGCUCAGAUGGUAAGGAAUCUGCCUGCAAUGUGGGAGAUGCAGGUUCAAUCCCUGUGUUGGGGA